rnacentral:rRNA from 1 species
AGUGAACGCUGGCGGUAGGCCUAACACAUGCAAGUCGAACGGCAGCACAGUAAGAGCUUGCUCUUACGGGUGGCGAGUGGCGGACGGGUGAGGAAUACAUCGGAAUCUACUUUUUCGUGGGGGAUAACGUAGGGAAACUUACGCUAAUACCGCAUAUGACCUACGGGUGAAAGCAGGGGAUCUUCGGACCUUGCGCGAUUGAAUGAGCCGAUGUCGGAUUAGCUAGUUGGCGGGGUAAAGGCCCACCAAGGCGACGAUCCGUAGCUGGUCUGAGAGGAUGAUCAGCCACACUGGAACUGAGACACGGUCCAGACUCCUACGGGAGGCAGCAGUGGGGAAUAUUGGACAAUGGGCGCAAGCCUGAUCCAGCCAUACCGCGUGGGUGAAGAAGGCCUUCGGGUUGUAAAGCCCUUUUGUUGGGAAAGAAAAGCAGCAGGUUAAUACCCCGCUGUUCGGACGGUACCCAAAGAAUAAGCACCGGCUAACUUCGU